AUGUGUAUGUGUGUCUGUGUGUGUGCAUAUAUGUGUAUGUGUAUAUGUGUGUCUGUGUGUAUGUGUGUGCAUGUGCGUGUAUAUGUCUGUGUAUGUGUAUAUGUGUGUGUCUGUGUGUCUGUGUGUGUGCGUGUAUAUGUGUGUAUGUGUGUCUCUGUGUGUAUAUGUGUAUAUGUGUGUGUCUGUGUGUCUCUGUGUGUGUGCAUGUAUGUGUAUGUGUAUAUGUGUGUGUCUGUGUGUGUGUGUGUAUAUGUGUGUGUAUGUGUGUCUCUGUAUGUGUGUAUGUGUGUGUGCAUGUAUGUGUAUGUGUGUGUGCGUGUGCGUGUAUAUGUGUGUCUGUGUGUGUGUGCAUGUGUGCGUGUAUGUGUGUAUAUGUGUCUGUGUGUAUGUGUGUGCGCGUGUAUGAGUAUGUGUAUAUGUGUGUGUAUGUGUGUGCAUGUAUGUGUGUGUAUGUCUCUCUCUGUGUGUAUGUGUCUGUGUGUAUAUGUGUGUGUGUCUGUGUGUAUGUGUGUGUGCAUGUAUAUGUGUAUAUGUGUGUGUGUGUGCAUGUAUGUGUAUGUGUAUAUGUGUGUGUAUGUGUCUCUGUGUGUGUAUGUGUGUCUGUGUGUGUAUAUAUAUGUGUGUGUAUGUGUCUGCCUGUGUGUGUAUGUGUGUAUGUGUGUGUGCAUGUAUGUGUAUGUGUAUAUGUGUGUGUGUGUGCGUGUAUAUGUGUGUGUGUGUGUGUGCGCGUGCGCAUGCGCACGCAUAUUUCUACAAACCAGUGAAAAACUGGCGGGCAGACUAGGAGGCAAUGUGUGUGGAAUCGAACAAACACUUCACAGAAGAUGUCCCAUGGCCAGUAAGCGUGAAAUGGCGUCCAGCGUCAUUAACAUGAGGGAAGUGCAAUGCAAGGCACAUCAGCAUGUUCAUCGCAUGUGUGACAUUGAGGAGCCCAACCCCACCGAGCGCUGGGGAGGUGGCGGGGUGAAGAGAACUCCCGUACGCAGCCGUGGGGGGCUUGUGGGGAGGCUCCUCCCAUUGCCUGCAAGGCUGCAGGGCUGGGACAUCUGUGUGGCGCUAUUCCUCCCUCGCAGCUCUGUGGCCCGGAUGGCGGUGGGGAGGGCGGGCCAGCAGGAGCAGCUCCACUGGAGUCAAAUUUCUGGGGCCUCGAUCCUGCUAUCAGCUGGGUUCCCCGAUUUUCCUCCGUACGCCCUCGGGGUCUCUCCCUGUGCAUGUGGCUUCUCCACCUGGUGUCUUUAG
ensembl:lncRNA